GAUGAACGCUGGCGGCGUGCCUAAUACAUGCAAGUCGAGCGAACAGACGAGGAGCUUGCUCCUCUGACGUUAGCGGCGGACGGGUGAGUAACACGUGGAUAACCUACCUAUAAGACUGGGAUAACUUCGGGAAACCGGAGCUAAUACCGGAUAAGAUAUUGAACCGCAUUGUUCAAUAGUGAAAGACGGUUUUGCGGUCACUUAUAGAUGGAUCUGCGCCGUAUUAGCUAGUUGGUAAGGUAACGGCUUACCAAGGCGACGAUGCGUAGCCGACCCGACAGGGUGAUCGGCCACACUGGAACGGAGACACGGUCCAGACUACUAAGGGAGGCAGCAGUAGGGAAUCUUCCGCAAUGGGCGAAAGCCUGACGGAGCAACGCCGCGUGAGUGAUGAAGGUCUUCGGAUCGUAAAACUCUGUUAUUAGGGAAGAACAAAUGUGUAAGUAACUAUGCACGUCUUGACGGUACCUAAUCAGAAAGCCACGGCUAACUACGUG
rnacentral:rRNA from 1 species